rnacentral:lncRNA from 14 species
CUGGCCUCUUUCGGCUGGCUUCCCUGCCAACUUCAGAGAAGGAACAAGAAGGAGUUAGGUUUGUACAUAGACAGGUCUUUCAGAUUCAAAAAGAUUAAUUUUGCACUAAUGAAGUACUGUUAAAACAGUAAUUCUCUCUUAAAGAAAAGUACCAAGAAACAGUUAUUUAAAAGGAUAUUACGGCUAUCAAGAAGUGCAAGUUUCAAGAAAUGGUAAGCAACGUCACUUGUGGCUGUCAGUUACCUUAAAUAUGUGUUAUUAGGCUUGAAGGGGAAGAAUAACAACUGUGUCUUUUUUAAUUCAAAGAACUUUUCAGCACUGAAAAGAUAGGACCCGGUACUUAGGUGCUUAGCAAAUUUAUUUUUCUGUGUGCCAGGCUGAAAAGAAGAGUGAAAAGAAGAGAGAAUGAUGAGAUCAGAACUCAGAUCCUUCUGUUAGCUUAUUGAGAUAUAAGAACAAGGAAUGGUUAUUAUGAAGAAGAGUCAUUGCUCUGAAGGCAAAUGAACAAGCUGGCUUCCUUCUGGCUUCAGCAGGAGACAAUGACAGCUCUAUCCAGCAACCACCCUUCUAUUUUUAGAGGUCAAGGAGCAGCAGUGGAGAAGGUGAAGUUUACUGAAGGUAUGUGUUAUGUCUGCUUUUCAAAAACCAUGUUGCAGCACAGAAGUCAUACAGGUCACUGGAAGAUCUAUGUCUCCACCUAUGGAUAGACAGGUUGAUAACUACUUAUAUGAACCACAUAGAAGUCUGGUCUUCAACACUGUUAGUUGGUGUCUCUGUAUGCACUAGGGAAAAUAUGGCUAUAGUCCUGUACAGACUAAUUUGACAGCUCUAGUGGGUGGUUAUUGCACUCCAGGAAAUUCUACACAAUUAGGAGCAUCCUGAUCUCGAAGAUCAGUAACUGGGUACCAGACUCCUUUUAGAAAUUGAAACUACUAUGAAACAGAACUUUGUGCUUGUUUGGGUUUUUUUUGUUUUUAUUUGUUUGUUUUGUUGUGGUUUUGUUUAUUUGUUUGUUUAGAAACUACUUUUCUAAAGGUAAUUGGAAGAUAUUUUACUGUAAAGUACAUGGGAUCUGAUCUAAAGCUGAGCUAGGUUACAGAGUUUGUAAUGAAAUGCAGCGUUCUAUUCUUUUCAAUCUUAUCCCGGCACGAUGAUAAGCACCACCAGUUCCCAUCAGACUCAAUGCAACCACAAUGGCAGUUGAGAUCACUUAGUUAAGAAUAGUCCCUCUUAAAGUAGGUAAAGGGUAAGUUGUAAUACAAUGUUCAUACACUCUUUAGUACUUAGUAAAGCUGUAAAUAUGGCCUUUUGAAAUAAUAUCUCUUUUCCUGAAGUGGCUGCUGUCCUCAAGACGUUGUUCAACAGUCUGAUUGUAAGCAGUCUUAUUAAUAUGCCUGUAAAAGAAAGGUAUACAGGAGGAUUUUUAAUGCACUUUGCCAUUGGAAAAUUUACUAGCUGUGUACCUUCAUCAGUUACAUAUGUUGAAUACAGGAUUUAAUGAGGCUAGAAGUCAAGAUACAUUAACAAGUAAAUGAAAAUUACUGGUACUGUCUUUUUGCAAUUAAUCUCUGGCAUAAAUCUGGAAUGAGCUCCAUAGAAAUUUCAACAUGAAAAUCUGAGGCAUAAGAUUAAUAACCUGAAAUUGUGUACUGCUAUUGAAUUGUAAAUAGAAAUAUUGUAUCUUUAAAUGUAAUUAGAUUCAUUCAA